AUGAAUCAUUCAGUAAAAUAUUCAAGUAAUCAAAAAAUGCUUUCAAUUCCUUAAAUUUAAUUGCUGAUAUUAACUUGAUGCCUUUGAAAAUAUGUUUGGAAAAGUAAAGGAACACAAUUAAUUUUAGAACUAGAAAUCAAAUAGAGGUAAAAAGUUUAGAAACAGUGCAGUGUUUCCCAACUUUUAAUCAUUUUUAACCACUCUCACAAUUUUUGGCAUAUCUAUAUAACACUUAAAGCAAUAUUUACCUAAUCAUUUUACUUCACUUCAUUCCAUUUCUACUUAAAUAUGUUUAAUUUUCCCAAACCAGCAUUAUGGUUUUGCCUACCAUAAAUAUUACACUCAACACAUAAUAUUAUUUUCUGUCUACUUAAGUAAGAAAUAUACUUAAGUUUGCUAUCUAAAGUCAUCUCACAUAACCCACAUACCACACUUUGGUUAAUAAUUGAUGUAGCAUUGCAGUAUAUAAUAUUCUUCCAGUAUUUGGGGCCUAAGUAAAUACAGAAGUCUACUAUACUUAAAAAUCUCAUUGUGGAAAAAAAAAAAAAUCUCAUUGUGGCAAAAGUGUGUCCAUACCCUGACCACCCAAUAUUAGUGGUAAUACUGAGUAUGUCUCUUUUUUCAGCUAUUGAACAAACCAAUAAAACUUAGAACACGUUUUAUACUGAAGUACAACUUGAAACACUAUGCGACAUAUAUUGUUAUUGAUAAGGUUAACUUCACUAUCUAAAUAAGUUGCUCUGGCUUCACAUUCACCAUAGUUAAAGAGAUAAAGAUAAAUGGCAAGAGCCAACAAUGAAUUGAGUCUCUAAAAUUUACUAUGUUCAGUGGCAAAUAUGUUAUUUAAAAAAUAUUUUUGAUGGGUCUGACUUUUCAGGAAUGCUUUAAUUUGUUCAAAACAAUUGAAUAACAUACUUCACAAGUAUCUUUGUGGUAAGAAAGUAGUUGUCAUCAUGACUGAACAACAUUUUAGGUUUGGGAGAUUAUGUUUUUGCAUAUCUGUAACUUGAUAAUUUGCAAGCAAGAACUCUCAAAAAUUCAAAUUCCAUUUAUUGGGUAAUAAAUAAUAAGAAAGAUUGUUUUACAAAAUUCACCCUUUUCAAUGACUAUGACAUUAGUCUAUAGUAAGAGCAGUGAAUUCAGAUUGGAGACCAAGUAUUUACGACAGUAUUUUUCUAUCCAAUAUCUAUGUGGUUAUGGACCAAAAUAUUUGCUGGAGUAAAGCUUCAGUCUUGUGCAAGCCUUAGAUCAAAAUGUGCUUGGUAAGCUGGGACACUGUACAUGCUUUUUUUUUUUUUUUUUUUUUUGUACAUGCUUUUGGACUAAAGCUGAGUAAUGAAACCUGCAUACUGCAUGAUCCCACUCCAGUUGUUCAGAGUAGAGCAGUGAGUCCUAACAUGACCAUGUGGGCCAAGUCUAUGCACAAAAGUCCCUGUGUGUUCCAUCAACCCCAUGCUUUCCCAGAGUAUUGAAAGGGAUCUGUUCAGGCCACCUUUGGAGAUGUAUUCCUCUUCUAUUGCUGUGUAACAGAUCACCACAAAUUUAGCAGUAAUAACAACAUCCAUUUAUUAGCUCACAUUCCUCUAGGUCAGAAGUCCAGGCACAGCAUGGCUGGAUUCUACUCAGGCUAAAAUCAGAGCUUUAGCUAGUCAUGUUCUCAUGUGGAGUUCGAGUCCUUCUUCCUAGCUCAUCCUUGGUUAUUGACAGAACUCAUUGCUUUGCUAUUGUAGGACUCACAUCCCUGCUUGCCUGCUGUCAGUUGAGAACAGUUCUUUUUUUUUUUUUUUUUUUAAGAUUUUAUUUGUUUAUUCAUAAGAGAAACCAAGAGAGUGAGGCAGAGACAUAGGCAGAGGGAGAAGCAGUCUCCAUGCAGGGAGCUGGAUGUGGGACUUGAUCCCGGAACUCUGGGAUCAUGCCCUGGGUCAAAGGUAGACACUCAACCACCUGCAGAGAGCAGUACUAAACUCGUACAGGCUGCUCAGUUCCUGAGCAUGAAUUUCUGCCUGGCACCCCAUCUCAGCAAUGGAGAACUGCCCUUCCAAUCUCUCCACUUUCUCCUCUGUGAACAGCCAUAGAAACCUCUACUUUUAAAAGGCUCCGAUGAUUGGAUCAGGCCUACCAAGGUAAUCUCUUCAUCUCAAGGUUAAUAGUGUCAUAUGCCAUAACCUAAUCACAGGAAUAAACCACAUUAAAUUUGCAGUCUUGGAGACCUUGCAGGAUGUGUACACCAGAGACAGAAUAUUGGGAAGAUCUUAUAAUCCUGCCUACCACAGAGGCUUUUGUCACUUUCACUUGACACAUUUCUUUGGCUUGUAUCUUCACACUCAAGACAUUUUUUCUUUCCCCAAAAGGAAUUCAGGAAAACUAAAAUUGUCACUAAAUUAGUCUACAUGAAAUAAAAUAUACAUAAAAGAUGUGUAUUCCUCAGCUUUCAAACAGGUUUCAAGGUGACACCAAAUAAGCUUGGAUGCUGUUCAUCAUUCUCAAUGCAAAUGUAGCUUCAACUAAACCAUCACUUUAUGGUGAAAUAUUUUUGUGACACUAUAGUAGCUGACAAUAUGGUUUAUGUUCAUAAGGACAUUGUGUUAAUUCAGUAUGAUUUUCUAACUAAUGUCAAACCUACUGUGUAAGCAAAUAACAGAUUUAUUUCAGUACUAAUACUAGUUUAUUCAUGAUGGUUUUUUUCCUACAAAUUAAAUGUAUUUUGGGGGCUCUGUAAGACUAGUAUGCAAAUAUUGAAAAUUUUAAGUAAUCAUUGGUGAUUUGGUUGUGUUCACUAAUCCUGAAACACCCUAACUCCUCCUCCAUGUUUGAUUAUUAAUUGGAUUCCUACAGUAUUAAUUCUCAACCAAAAGCUUUGAUUUAUCUAAGUAUAGAUGAAAAGGCAUUUAUGAAAAACACAAAUCUGAUUUGGAGGUGCUCACUAAAACAAAAUUUAUUACUAAAUAUCAAAUGGUAGUUUUCGAAGCAGGAUAAAGACCAAUGAUAAAAAAUAAAAUAGGCAAUGCAUAGUGUGAUGUAGUGGAAAGAAAUAAAGAGUCAGACACUGGAUAAGCUACUUAAUUAACUUAUCUGAGUCUCAGUUUUUUCACUAUAAGAGCAGAGUGAUCCUCCAACUUUAUUGAAUUGUAAGAAUUGAAUGAUUUAUAAAAUCUAUCACCAGUAAUAAAUGUUCAGUAAACACUUUUCUCUGUACAUGAAUAGCUAAUUUAAUAAAUCAGCCUAUUUUAAUAAACCUUAAAAUGAGAGAAGUCACAAUUUAGAGAACACUCCAGACUUGAUUCAAUUUGUAAAAAUUAGUAGAUUCAGUUGCUAUAACUUAAAUAGAAUAACAAUAGUUUAAAAUAAUACUAAAGUACUUUUAAGAAUUUAAAAAAGGAUAUUUAACAGUGGAAUUAGUUAGAUAAUUGAAUUGUUGUGAGAUAUGAAAUGAAUGAUAUGUCAACCCAGAGAUGAGCAAAAGCAGGGCAUACCAUCUCCCUACACCAGGAAAAUAAAGAAAGAAUGAAGUGUCAUUGAAUUCCAGGGAAUGGAAUUAUGAAGGAAGUGCAGCCAGAGAUGCCACACAAGGCACAGUGAGAAAUAGUCUGGUUUCUUCCUUCUAACAAAAGGCAGAUCACAUGGAAACACGGGAAAGAGCUCACGAAGUUUGAGAAGAACAAGAGGGUAAUAAGCAUAUCUGAAGGUAAGCAGGCCAUGGACUAGCAUUUUAACUGGUGAAAGUAAGAGAAAUGUAAUUGACCAGCAACUCAGAUUUUAGGUAAUUUGAGAGAAGCCUAGAUCCUGAAAAUACUGUGAUGAUUGUGUUUUCUCAGAGCUUCAGAACCACUGCUAACAAAAAGAGAGCUGUUAAAAGAUAGAGACUUAUCCCCUAAAUUCCUUUCAGUGAGUGACCACAAAAAUAAUGGACCUGUCCAAAUAUUCUUUCAAGGCAAGGGAGAUGACCUGAACUGAGUAAGUUUUGAAGCUGAGGUAAGGGGCAAAACUUAAUUGUCCCUGUGAUCAGAAUCCUUAUGCUUGUUCAACAUACUCAGUUUAUACCAAUAGGGUAAAGGGUGUAAAGGGUGUGUUUUUCUGAGAUAGACAAUGGAUAGAUCUCCACUUCUACUAUUCUAUUACUGAUAAGAGAAUUCCAUUUCCUUGCAGUGUUUGACCCGAGUCCAUGGAACUCUACUUUCAUAGAUCCAGCUUUCUGUUGGGAUUACUAAUCUGUGGGUGGCCAGUUUUUCUACAGUGUGGAAAGACAGAGAGAGUGAGAGCAAUUGAGCACAACUGAGCUUACUUCACUAUAUCAUUCUAAUCCCAGAUCCAGCUUUCCCAUGAAAAAUAUCAUUUAUUAAGGCAAUUAAACUUCAAUUUUUACUUAAGUAGUUUGAGUUGUCUCUUGCAACACAGUUUUGGCCAACACCUGUAUUAUAUUUGAAGAGGAACCAAAAUAAGCCUCAUUAUCUAUAGUAUGUCUGUAAAACAAUGCUUCUUAGUCUUUAUGAGUCUUGUAUCCUUUGAAAUGUAAUGAAAUACAAGGAUUUCCCAUAUUUACACAUUAGCACAAUUAACUAUAUUAGAAUUUGAUUUUCUUCACAUAGAUGACAAAGCAACAUUUAUAAAGAAUUAUAUCUUCCUUACAUUUUUUCAAAUAUUGAAAAAUUUGUGUCUGUAUAUUUGUUUAGAGUGAAAAUUUUAGGACUCUGUUAUUUUCAUCCAUAGCCUGCAGAAUUUUCUCUAGCACUAGACCAUCUAAAAGGUUGUCUGCUUUCAGUAUCUCUUUCCAGAGUGGCAACUUAUACCUAACAAUAAGAGGGUUUUUUUCCAUCAGUUUCUACAAUGUCAUGUCAAGGCCUCCAAUCAAAGAUUUUACCUUAUUCUUGUGGCUGAAAAUAAUGGCCAAGUGACCCAAUUCAUGAGUCAACUCUUUCCUGUCAAACUGAACUGGAAUUUGGGUUGGUUAUAUCCUCCUAAUAGUAAAGCUUCUACAAAAGGUUCAUUUAAGUAUGUGAAGACUUGUCUUUUGGAAAAUCAGCAAUUAUAUAUUAUAUGCCUUGUUAUGACAAAACCUCUUGAAAGGUAGCAAUUCAAGUCCCCAUUUUAGUUGUCAACUGAUCUCAAACAUGCCAAUGUAGAAAGCUAUGAUCUUGCAUCCUGGUGAUGUUUGGCACUUCUUCACUCACCCACAAAACCAGAUGAGUUCCAACUACAUGUGCUUAUCUCUGCUUGGAGUAGCAGGAUGUUUUUUCUAGUUGAAUUUUCUUUGGCAAAAUCAUUAAUUUGUAGAUAAUGAUACCAAAUUGGUAAUUCUUUUUUGAUGAUAUCUGUGAAUGCCAUGUACAAAAACCAGGAGCUGCCUGGUUUCAUUCUAUUAUAAGUUGAAGGAAAAAUAACAAUAAUUAAUUAAAUUUAAAUUUAUCCAAAUAAAUAUUGGUAUUAGAACUUAUUGUGAUUAUGCUUAAGUAGAUAUAUACAGAGUGAUGACUAAAUUUGACUAAAUCAUUUUAAUAGCAUUAUCUAAUAACUGGUCUUGAGGACAAUGUUUUUUUUUUUUUUAAAUUUUAUUUAUUUAUUCAUGAGAGACACAGAGAGAGAGAGGCAGAGACACAGGCAGAGGGAGAAGCAGGCUCCAUGCAGGGAGCCCUACAUGGGACUUGAUCCUGGGACUCCAGGAUCAUGGCCUGGACUGAAGGCAGGUGCUAAACUGCUGAACCACCCAGGGAUCCCUGAGGAUGAUGGUUUUAAAUCAGCCUCAGGCAGAAGACAUGGACAUCCUUAUUCAUCAGAUCAAGCAAGCCUGGAAAACUUUCCACCAAACCAGUGCGGGUUCUCCAGAACUCUGGUGGGAGCCAAGAGGGUCCAUCAGGCCUCAGGGGCCAUAGAAUGAGGGCAUCUGUCCUCAGGAAAACUGAUAAUUGUGAUAACUUUCAUUAGCCACACUCUGGCAUGCAAGAAGGCCCUGAAGAACCAAAGUAUUCAUACUAUUCCAGAGUUACAGCUAAAUUUUUAAAAUUCUAAAAAUAUUCUCAAACUCAUAAGUGUGUUUUUAAAAAUAUAUAUAAUCUGCUUUAUUCUGUUACAGAAAAAGAUAUAUUGUUAUUUACUGACUCCUGACAAUUAAAAUUUUCAACAGCUUAA